UGGUGACAAUGGGGAGACCUGGGAAGGUGCAGGCAGUGAUCUGACCUCCCCGAUCUCAUUUCAUGCCAGGUCCUGGCUUCCUCGGCUGAGCUGGACUUUUGGCACCUUUCGGACCUAGGAUUUCCACCUCCCGGGUGUCACAGCCGAUCCUCAAGAUAAGCCACCAGGAAUCAGUCAGAAGCCAUGACCAGUGGCGACGACUGUGAAGCAGAGUCAUGGUUCAGGAAGAAAACAUCCUGCUCACCCGGGAAGAGAAUGCCCAAGUAUUCACAGGACACACAUCAAAACACGAAGGAACAAGGCAGAGCCCUCGACAUUCAAGUAGAACCUGUUUCCACUGGCAAGCAUGGUGCCCAGAAUCCCGUCCGUCCACUUUCUGGUGGCAGCAAGGCCCCCGGGUGUAUCAUUUCCUGGGGAGAAGAAAGUCUUCAGAGACCCAACAGGUCGGUCUAGAUGGAACACGGUCCUGAGUCCUUGCAUGUCCUGCUGUCACCAAAUUAGGCUUCCACAGUCCAGGGCCUUCAACUGGUCUCUGAGCAGCUGCACCAGUAG